CCUACGGGUGGCAGCAGUGAGGAAUAUUGGUCAAUGGGCGAGAGCCUGAACCAGCCAAGUCGCGUGAAGGAUGACGGCUCUACGGGUUGUAAACUUCUUUUGUCAGGGAGCAAUUGAGUCCACGUGUGGUCUUAGCGAGAGUACCUGAAGAAAAAGCAUCGGCUAACUCCGUGCCAGCAGCCGCGGUAAUACGGGGGAUGCGAGGGUUAUCCGGAGUGAUUGGGGUUAAAGGGUGCGUAGGCGGAAUAUCAAGUCCACGGCAAACAUUCGGGGCUAAACCCCGUAGUGCCGUUGAAACUGAUGUUCUUGAGUGGGCGAGAGGUAUGCGGAAUGCGUGGUGUAGCGGUGAAAUGCAUAGAUAUCACGCAGAACACCGAUUGCGAAGGCAGCCUACCGGAGCCCAACUGACGCUGAAGCACGAAAGCGUGGGUAGCGAACAGGAUUAGAUACCCUUGUAGUC
rnacentral:rRNA from 1 species